GACCGCUCAGGUAGCUGAGUGGUUAGAGCAUCCGUGUCGGAUGAAGUAAGUCGCGGGUUCAAUCCCCGCCCUAGUCA